GCCGCGGUGGUGGAAUUGGUAGACACGCUGGUCUUAGGAACCAGUGCCGAAAGGCGUGAAGGUUCGAGUCCUUUCCGCGGCA
rnacentral:tRNA from 1 species